rnacentral:rRNA from 1 species
UACGUAGGGGGCAAGCGUUGUCCGGAUUUAUUGGGCGUAAAGAGCGUGUAGGCGGCCAGGUAGGUCUGCUGUGAAAACUCGAGGCUCAACCUCGAGACGCCGGCGGAAACCAUCUGGCUAGAGUCCGGAAGAGGAGAGUGGAAUUCCAGGUGUAGCGGUGAAAUGCGUAGAUAUCUGGAGGAACACCGGUGGCGAAGGCGGCAUCCUGGACCGAGAUUGACGCUGAUGCGCGAAAGCCAGGGGAGCAAACGGG